rnacentral:misc_RNA from 1 species
AGAGAAAAAAAAAAGAAAAAGAAAAAAGAUUAACCCAAUUAGCCAAGGAUGAGAUACACAAGUAAUGUUUAGCAUAUAAAAGAUGUAUUCUAAAUACAGAAAAACAUACAUAAAUGUAUAUUGAUAGCAGGUAACCAUUACAGAAGGUAUAACUAACUAAAGAUAGGAAGCAUGAUAUUGAGCCUUAUAUAAAUAAACAUGACAAAUGCUUACUUAAUAUUGCAGAACCCUGUUUUAAUGAACAUUUCCAAAUCAUUUGCAGAAACAGUAAGUCUAUAGUAGAAUCCCAGAAAAUUUGUCCUGAAGAAUCCACUGAUGCCAAACACAACUCAAGAAGCAUGCAGGAAAAUACUCAAGUAUGUAACACAUUUACUAGUACUAUGCUAAUGCCUUGCAACAAAGUACUAUUAGCUUCAUCAAAAACACAAACAAGCUAGCAAG